UGGGCGUUAAGUUGCAGGGUAUAGACCCGAAACCCGGUGAUCUAGCCAUGGGCAGGUUGAAGGUUGGGUAACACUAACUGGAGGACCGAACCGACUAAUGUUGAAAAAUUAGCGGAUGACCUGUGGCUGGGGGUGAAAGGCCAAUCAAACCGGGAGAUAGCUGGUUCUCCCCGAAAGCUAUUUAGGUAGCGCCUCGUGAAUUCAUCUCCGGGGGUAGAGCACUGUUUCGGCUAGGGGGCCAUCCCGGCUUACCAACCCGAUGCAAACUGCGAAUACCGGAGAAUGUUAUCACGGGAGACACACGGCGGGUGCUAACGUCCGUCGUGAAGAGGGAAACAACCCAGACCGCCAGCUAAGGUCCCAAAGUCAUGGUUAAGUGGGAAACGAUGUGGGAAGGCCCAGACAGCCAGGAUGUUGGCUUAGAAGCAGCCAUCAUUUAAAGAAAGCGUAAUAGCUCACUGGUCGAGUCGGCCUGCGCGGAAGAUGUAACGGGGCUAAACCAUGCACCGAAGCUGCGGCAGCGAACGUAUCACCCAAGACAACUUUACGGAGUUGACGAUUGACGGAGCGAAGCGACGUCAAAGCGUUCAUUAAAGUCGAGUUGGCUUAGGGAUACGUUCGUUGGGUAGGGGAGCGUUCUGUAAGCCUGUGAAGGUGUGUCGUGAGGCAUGCUGGAGGUAUCAGAAGUGCGAAUGCUGACAUAAGUAACGAUAAAGCGGGUGAAAAGCCCGCUCGCCGGAAGACCAAGGGUUCCUGUCCAACGUUAAUCGGGGCAGGGUGAGUCGACCCCUAAGGCGAGGCCGAAAGGCGUAGUCGAUGGGAAACGGGUUAAUAUUCCCGUACUUGGUGUUACUGCGAAGGGGGGACGGAGAAGGCUAUGUUGGCCGGGCGACGGUUGUCCCGGUUUAAGCGUGUAG
rnacentral:rRNA from 1 species